CGCUGUGCUCGUUGAGGAUGUGGUGCCGCCGUCCUUGAAGGCGGACGUCCUGGCCAUGGUGAUGGGGGCUGCGUGGGCCGUCGCCAUUGAUGGCAGACUACGCGCGCUACGGUGACGGCGGGCCGGGAGACGGCGUCCGUGCGGAAGACGGAGGCUGAGCGGUUUAUGUGUGCUGGAGUUUGCUCCGGCGGCGUGGAGAGGAGCUGCAGCCGGCGCAUCGCAAAGGGAUGGAGGCCCCCUUCUCCCAGCCAGUCACCGAUUAUAUGUGGGUACGUGUAUUUCUGCAACCUCAUCUGAAGCAUACUAUUCUAUUAUGCUCGAAGCCCAAAUAGUAAACAGGAUGCGCUUUGCAUAGAGUCGAUGCUCACAAACAUGGGGCUAAUUAUACAUGGUAAACAUGAAUAAACUAUAGGUCUUACCGAACCAAAUUAGAUAGGAGUCUGCGUGCGUUUAUCUUAGCGGCGUGGCACCCGGGUUGAUAGUGGAGCUGAUUGAAUUGGAGGCGGGGACAGAUUAGCAGGAAACCAAUGCCACGAAGAGUGCGUGAGGUUCGUAUGCCAAGCAGACUUAUAUGCAACCAUGGAUAGGAAAGUGAUCCCGUAUUAAUUAAUUAGAGUUAAUGCGCAUUAUUACACAAGGAAUUAGUGGGGAAACAAAAAAAAGGAAAGAACAUAGAUAUAGCAGUUGAUCCCGGACAGAAUCUCAUCUGUCAUUGAUUUCUUUCAUCUAGCUGGAUUUAUAAUGAUGACAACACGUACUAUAAAAAUAGAUCCUUGUGAAGCUGUUUUAGAGGCGACGAACACUAAGUGGCUGUGCGAACAUAAUAACAUUUGAACAUCAUUAUAGAGCAUCGAAGUGAAUUUUGCAUCAGACUUGAACCCUCCUCAUUCGUUGAACGUGAACAUGGCUCGUUCGUUGAACAAUCAAGUUGGCCCGGUUGAGCAUCUCCUAGUGCCGCACGGCAGGCUGCCAGCUCGUAGGACUGCUGGUUGUCUGGUUGGAAGACAAGCUGGCUCAUGUAUGUCGUUUUCAAGAACCGUACAAAAUAGGUUUAAUAAAACAACAUACAAUCCAUAUUUUUAUAUAAGAUGGUCAUGUUAAACAUUCUUCGAUUACACAAGCACUCACGUUGUGCUCUGUUGACCUCAAGCAGUGUGGCACCUAAAGUCCAGAGCCCCUGCUUUGCUAGUCCCCACCGCAUCAAGUGGCGUGACACAUGCUGGUCCCAGACACGUAGGUAGAUAAACUCCCUCCUGGUUGAGCAAUAAAAUGUUAGCCCACUGCCAUGCAUCACAUGUCGGUAUGGUGUGGUACGGUCGUCUGACCUGUAUAACAUUAUUUUGCUGACAUGCAUCACUAUGCCAAUGACAUCUAGGAAAAAAUGAUGUGAAUUUGUUAAGAAAGUCUGGCUCAACUACAUGUCAGCAAAAUUCAUUGUGAGAUGAUACAAUGCACCUGCAAGCAUCCUGUUUCUGAGGCUGUAGACAUCUAUAAAAUCAAUGAAUCGUGGCGGCAACGAAGGGAUGUUAAUGCUGGCCCUGGCAAGAAGUAUUUCAGUGCGCGAGUGGAGGGCGAUGUAAAAGUCACAUGGCACCGGCAAUGCAACUGGCAGAUGCAUAGCUGCUGGUUCAAAACCAACUUUUUUGAAUAAGUGUACUGAGCCGGCACGUAGGUUGUCACUGAAGCGAUAUGCGAUCGGUUGAAAUGGAUCAAAUGCAAUUGCAUCCAUUUUGACCCCCUGAAAAUCUAUUGCAUACAUUAGCAGCAUGUUGAAUAUAUUAUCAGCAGAUCACUUGAUAGCAUAUCUUCUUUGAAUACUUACAGUUUGGUCGAUGAGGAUGGCGUGAAAGAUGACUGCUCCACUGCGGGUAUGUUUGAUGCGAGCAUACAAAACCUUUGCCGUUGCGUCCCAACCUCUAGUGUAUAUAUGUAGGUUUUCUAUUUCGCCGAACCUUACAUGUCUGCAAUUGGUUGACAAAGAGCACAAUUCUGUAUAUUUCCUAAUGCAAAUAACUAAAAGCAGGAAUGGAUAAAAUGUUGCCUGGCGAUCGGCGGUGGAGGGCCAACGGGAGCGGGAACGAAGUUCACAGGCGGUGGUGCCAUGACCCUCUGUGAGCCAGGACGGCCCAUCCUGGGUCCCAUCGGCAUGAGUGCUAAGACCCGAUUUCUCUUCUAACACGACUCAUGGUUCAGAACGCAAGGACGUAUAUUGACUGAUCUGACUAUUUUCAUUUUCAUUGGCGCCAAGUAAACCAUGGUGAUAGGAAAAAGGAAGUGAUUGAAAGAAGGAGAUUGAUCAACGUUUGAUUGAAAGAAGGAAGGAGAUUUAUCACCGUCAUGAAUGAAUUGAUUGCCAUGCAUGAAUUGAUUGUUGAUUGAUU
rnacentral:lncRNA from 1 species